rnacentral:lncRNA from 1 species
GGUGACACAGGGAUCCCCGGCCUUCGCACAGGCAGCUAAUGAAAGGUCAUGUAUGAGAAUGAGGAAAGCUGUGGGCACGGUAGGCAAGACUCAAGUGUGAAGAGUUGAUUUGGUCUCAUCACGGUGGUUCCCUCAGUGGGCAUUUACUGGACACCUUCUUGGUGCUGGUAAUGGGCCUUUAAAAAUGUUGAGUGUCCAGUAAGAAGAUAGGUGAAGAGUAGUUUUGUACCCUAAUAACUAUAAUAGUUGGUGCAAAGCCCAGGCGUGGUGGAAGAGUUUUAGCAGUUAGCUGUAUGACAGCAUGUCGUGGUUGAGGGUGGGGUUAAAAAUCUCAGGGAAAAAAGGAUGCCACAGAGGAGUUGGAAGAGAUGCUUAAUAAUUUUCUGGCAAAGAAAAGGGAAAUGAGUGGUUCAGGGUGUCAGAGGGUAGGUAGGGAGGCAAGGACUGAGACCCACAUGGUUAGACAGAUAAUGUGCGUAGAACUUUUGGCUUCCACAGGGUAAUUGUACUACGUGGGGACCCAGCAGCCGGGGGCCUUGUGUAUCGGGCUUGGUGCUCUUCGGAGGACUAUUCCUUCUGGGGUUGGAGGAAUAGAAGGGUUGGUGUCUGGGUCGCAUGUGCAGCACAAGCCAUUGCUCUGGAGAACUGAGACCCUAUCGGGGCAUCAGGGGCUGGAUAAAGUCCGCAGCUGAGCCCUGAGGAGCAUGUCAGGAAGCCAUCUGAAUCCGGGGGUAGAGGGGCUCAGUGUGGUCAAAGUGGGAACUCUCGGGAGGCACAGGACCCUGGAGAGCAUGCACAGGAAUGUUGUCAGGAGCAGACCCGCCUUACAAGAUUUACAGCCUAACCUCAAGAGGACCAGACUUCCCAAAUAUCCUGACCAUGGUCUAUAGCUAUGCUCAGGUGUUGGAAGGAAUGAAAACAUGUCCUGCACCUAACAAGGUAAAAUGUACAAUGUCUGUUAGUCAGAAGUUAGCAGGGAUGCAAAGAAGUCAUGGCAGUGCAGACUGAGGAGAAAGAUCAGCAGGCAGAAAUGACACACAUGGUGGAGUCAGUGAGUAAGGAU